GAUGAACGCUGGCGGCGUGCCUAAUACAUGCAAGUCGAGCGAACGGACGAGAAGCUUGCUUCUCUGAUGUUAGCGGCGGACGGGUGAGUAACACGUGGAUAACCUACCUAUAAGACUGGGAUAACUUCGGGAAACCGGAGCUAAUACCGGAUAAUAUUUUGAACUGCAUGGUUCAAAAGUGAAAGACGGUCUUGCUGUCACUUAUAGAUGGAUCCGCGCUGCAUUAGCUAGUUGGUAAGGUAACGGCUUACCAAGGCAACGAUGCGUAGCCGACCUGAGAGGGUGAUCGGCCACACUGGAACUGAGACACGGUCCAGACUCCUACGGGAGGCAGCAGUAGGGAAUCUUCCGCAAUGGGCGAAAGCCUGACGGAGCAACGCCGCGUGAGUGAUGAAGGUCUUCGGAUCGUAAAACUCUGUUAUUAGGGAAGAACAUAUGUGUAAGUAACUGUGCACAUCUUGACGGUACCUAAUCAGAAAGCCACGGCUAACUACGUG
rnacentral:rRNA from 1 species